UGGGUUAUAGAUGGGCAUGCGUGCCAUUAGCUAGUUGGAGAGGUAACGGCUCACCAAGGCGACGAUGGCUAGGGGAUCUGAGAGGAUGACCCCCCACACUGGUACUGAGACACGGACCAG
rnacentral:rRNA from 1 species